rnacentral:rRNA from 1 species
UACGUAGGGUGCAAGCGUUAAUCGGAAUUACUGGGCGUAAAGCGUGCGCAGGCGGUUGUGCAAGACCGAUGUGAAAUCCCCGGGCUUAACCUGGGAAUGGCAUUGGUGACUGCACGGCUAGAGUGUGUCAGAGGGGGGUAGAAUUCCACGUGUAGCAGUGAAAUGCGUAGAGAUGUGGAGGAAUACCCGAUGGCGAAGGCAGCCCCCUGGGAUAACACUGACGCUCAUGCACGAAAGCGUGGGAGCAAACAGG